CCUUCUCCUUCGGCACUUUCGAACUCUCCAGACCUGGAGAGAGAGCUCGUUCAUACUCUUCGUUCUCCAUCUAUCCUCCUCAACGGAUCAGCUCGUGUGGACAGGUGCAUGAGAUCCGUCUGCAGCUGCCGUGAAGCCUUGCCGUGAGUUCUUCCCCUGUUUGUUGUUUGUUUGCUGUUCAUCUGUGUCCCUGUUUGUUCUUUUUUUUUGGGUGUUGCUGGACGUCAUUCUCCCUUGUCGGUCUCAAAAUAAUUUCGUAAAAAUGGCAAGUUCAUUCGCCUAUUCAUCUCCUUCCGUCCAAACUGCUAUGACUUAGUGUAUGAGGUUCCUUUCUUCUUCCCCUGUUCAACACGGCAGAUUCAUCCUUCUCCCUUUCAUGUUCUAUACUAAUCGAUUGAAGCGAGUGCUGUGGUUUGGGUAACGGGUUCUUGGUCACUCACUCUGCUGUCAGCCUUCGCAUCCUUCUCUGUUAUUGGGGGUUUUGUCAAACUCACAGCUUCCUUCAUUUUGCUUGCGGCAAUCGAAGACCAUGAGUGGCAAGAAACUUCCUCCUUAAUUUCCCUCUGUCUGUGUGUUGCUUCGUGGUUGCUGCCAUGGUUUCAUGAUUUUCUUUUCCCAGCUCCUGUCGAUUUUUUCCCAUUUCUGUCGUCGGUGGUUCUAAGGGAGUUUGGAAGGAGAGGAAAUCGAUUAGUGCGGUAAGAGGAGAACUUUGUGCCUUGAGAAAAUUGGAGAUAGCAUAAUUGACGCUGUACGUCUUGCUUACUAAUGAUGGAUGUUUGCGGAACAGAAUGAAGGCUUGUUCUGUAAAUAUAUCUUAUUGAUAUAAAUAUGAAAUUUAUGUAUUAUGUCAUGAGAUACAUGAUUAGGUGCUCCACAUAACUUAUAAUUAGAGUUCUUAGUUUAUUAUACAUUUUGUCUGCUGGCGGGAACGAGCCGAGCUCCUGAUUGAUAUAAUGUUUAAAGAAAAUUUUUGUGAUACAUAACUUUUGGGAGAUUCUAUUUAUAGAGGAGGUUUUGUCAAAAUUUUUACAAAAUGUUGAAAUAAUUAGUAUAAUGAUUAGUAUCAAUAGUAUUAAAAUGUUAGUGUAAAACUGAGUACAUUUAAUUAAAGGAAAUAAACCUUGAAUUUGUGGCUUACGGGAUGUAUA